AUUGAACGCUGGCGGCAGGCCUAACACAUGCAAGUCGAGCGGCAGCACGGGUACUUGUACCUGGUGGCGAGCGGCGGACGGGUGAGUAAUGCCUAGGAAUCUGCCUGGUAGUGGGGGAUAACGCUCGGAAACGGACGCUAAUACCGCAUACGUCCUACGGGAGAAAGCAGGGGACCUUCGGGCCUUGCGCUAUCAGAUGAGCCUAGGUCGGAUUAGCUAGUUGGUGAGGUAAUGGCUCACCAAGGCGACGAUCCGUAACUGGUCUGAGAGGAUGAUCAGUCACACUGGAACUGAGACACGGUCCAGACUCCUACGGGAGGCAGCAGUGGGGAAUAUUGGACAAUGGGCGAAAGCCUGAUCCAGCCAUGCCGCGUGUGUGAAGAAGGUCUUCGGAUUGUAAAGCACUUUAAGUUGGGAGGAAGGGCAGUUACCUAAUACGUAUCUGUUUUGACGUUACCGACAGAAUAAGCACCGGCUAACUCUGUGC
rnacentral:rRNA from 1 species